UUAUUUUAAUAGUCGUUGAAUGCUAGUAAAUAUUUAUUACAAUCAUAAAAAAGUAUUUACCUUUUACAGUUAUAUAUAUGUGCGUGCGCGAGCGUAUGUGCAGCCUAUAUAGUAUAGUUAAUACCUAAACAUAUUUUUAAACAAUUUAUAUUUUGCAGUUAACACUUAAAUUAUGGAUUUUUGUUUUUAUCCCCCUAAUUAUAAAAUUUUCUAUGUAAAAUUUUCAUAUGAUGUUGUCACAUC
rnacentral:lncRNA from 1 species